AGCGAACGCUGGCGGCAGGCUUAACACAUGCAAGUCGAGCGGGCGUAGCAAUACGUCAGCGGCAGACGGGUGAGUAACGCGUGGGAACGUACCUUUUGGUUCGGAACAACACAGGGAAACUUGUGCUAAUACCGGAUAAGCCCUUACGGGGAAAGAUUUAUUGCCGAAAGAUCGGCCCGCGUCUGAUUAGCUAGUUGGUGAGGUAAUGGCUCACCAAGGCGACGAUCAGUAGCUGGUCUGAGAGGAUGAUCAGCCACAUUGGGACUGAGACACGGCCCAAACUCCUACGGGAGGCAGCAGUGGGGAAUAUUGGGCAAUGGAGGCAACUCUGACCCAGCAACGCCGCGUGAGGGAAGAAGGUUUUCGGAUUGUAAACCUCUGUCCUUGGGGACGAAGAAAGUGACGGUACCCGAGGAGGAAGCCCCGGCUAACUACGUGCCAGCAGCCGCGGUAAUACGUAGGGGGCGAGCGUUGUCCGGAAUUACUGGGCGUAAAGGGUGCGUAGGCGGUGAGAUAAGAUAGAUGUGAAAUCCCCGGGCUUAACUCGGGUGUUGCAUUUGUGACUGUCUUGCUAGAGUGCNNNAGAGGAAAGCGGAAUUCCUAGUGUAGCGGUGAAAUGCGUAGAUAUUAGGAGGAACACCGGUGGCGAAGGCGGCUUUCUGGACUGUAACUGACGCUGAAGCACGAAAGCGUGGGGAGCAAACAGGAUUAGAUACCCUGGUAGUCCACGCUGUAAACGAUGGAUACUAGGUGUAGGGCCCGAAUUGGGUUCUGUGCCGCAGUUAACGCAGUAAGUAUCCCGCCUGGGGAGUACGACCGCAAGGUUGAAACUCAAAGGAAUUGACGGGGGCCCGCACAAGCAGCGGAGCAUGUGGUUUAAUUCGAAGCAACGCGAAGAACCUUACCAAGGCUUGACAUCCUCUGACGUACGUAGAGAUACGUAUUCCCUUCGGGGCAGAGAGACAGGUGGUGCAUGGUUGUCGUCAGCUCGUGUCGUGAGAUGUUGGGUUAAGUCCCGCAACGAGCGCAACCCCUAUUAUUAGUUGCCAGCACGUAAAGGUGGGAACUCUAAUGAGACUGCCGGGGAUAACUCGGAGGAAGGUGGGGACGACGUCAAAUCAUCAUGCCCCUUAUGUCUUGGGCUACACACGUGCUACAAUGGUCGGUACAAAGGGCAGCGAAGCGGAGACGCGGAGCGAAUCUUAAAAAAGCCGAUCCCAGUUCGGAUUGUGGGCUGCAACCCGCCCACAUGAAGUUGGAGUUGCUAGUAAUCGCGAAUCAGAAUGUCGCGGUGAAUGCGUUCCCGGGCCU
rnacentral:rRNA from 1 species